rnacentral:rRNA from 1 species
GUGAUUCCCUUAGUAAUGGCGAAUGAAACGGGAAGAGCCCAUCGUCGAAUCGCAAGUCAUCUCGGCUUUGUGAAAUGUGACGUUUGGGAGGGUCUUCCACGGCUCAGACGAUCAGUCCAAGUCCAACUUGACAGUGGCCACAGCCCAUAGAGGGUGAUAGGCCCGUAAGGCGGUUGUCUGGCUGUGCUGACCUCUCUCUAGAGUCGGAUUGCUUGGGAGUGCAGUCCAAAGUGCGAGGUAAACUCCUCGUAAGGCUAAAUAUAACCCCGAGACCGAUAGCAAACAAGUACAGUGAUGGAAAAUUGAAAAGAACUUUGAAGAGAGAGUUAAGAGUACGUGAAACUGUGUGGUGGUAAACGGAGGCGUUNCUCGAAGUGUCCGCGGGGGACUCAAGCUUGGUGGUNNGGGCAGCCGGCGUUCUCUGAUCAGCAAUGACUGGGUGCGUCGUGCAGGCUCGCCUCCCGGCCGCACUUUCCCCGCGGUUGACGGCAGGAACUGUUGGGACCGGACCAAAGGCCUGGGAUGAAGUUGCCGGCCCUCACGGGCUUGUAGCUCCCGGUGUCCUGGCUUCGGGCCCGACGGGGUAUGAGUGGACUUGUAUAGCAAGCGACAGCCUGUUGCGGUUCACAUCUCUCUGC